GUAAGUAUAAAACUCAGUCAGUCCCCAACACUUUUGUUCUUGCUUUUUUCACUAGAUUUUACCAUAGGCUUUAAAUUUCUUGUUUUUCACUAUCAACUUACAUUCCCGCUACAAAAUGUAAUUCUAAAUUAUUACAUUUCUUAAAGAUAAGAGAAUUUCAUGAAAAUCGUCAAUACCAUUAAUCUUUAUUACUUUGAUAUUACUCUGUCACAAUAUUGGUUAUAAAAAUAAAAAUGGAAAUUCCUUGGAUCGCCUAUUAAAAUUCAAAUUAUUGAAACGUUUUGACUAGAAAAAAAUGUUCAUCACAUUUUUGAGAAAAAGUCUAAAAAAUGCCAUUUGAUAUUUUUAUAAACAGAAAAUAUUGGAAGGAAUUUUCACAAAAGUAUUAACAGUGGCCAUUCAAAGGAAUUAGCCAUUUAAUUUGUCCUUUGCAUUUUCAACGUUUUCUAAUAUUUAUGCAAUGGCCAUGUAUUACCUUUGCAAUUAGAAUAAACAUUUAAAAAAUAAUAGAAUAAUAGAAUAAAAUACUGUAUGAAAAUUAUCUUAAUUUGUUAAUUUAUGUUUCAACGUUCUAAGAAAUACAUCUGCUUAAGAAAAAAAUCUCUGUGACAUAAGAAGCUUCUGAAAGCUUAUGAUAGCCAAAUUCAACCUAUUUCAGUGACAAUGUGGGAGAAUAUGAAUACUAUUUGCUGGAAAACCUAAGUUUCUGUGUAUUGGGAAUUCCUGAAGGCCUUGGUUUAGUGGUUCUGACUCAAGCUCUCUCAUGUGAUGUCAUCCAGACUGGAGCUGACAAGGGGUGAGAGGUGGUUAUGCAGCUGCGACCUGGCCUGGCAUCACUCUGUUUAGUUUCAGGGCCUCUGCAUGUGAUAUCUCCUCAUGGGUUAGUUUGGGCCUCCUCGCAGCAUGGUGGCCUCACGGCAGCCGAACAGUUUAUACUGCCCCUGAAGACUUCAGGAGGGAAUAUUUCAAGAGAACCAGAUUCUGUAGACCAACUUCAUUCUGCAACACAACUGCAUUACAUUUUCUUUGCUUCUGUAUCACAUCUUCCAGAGACUACAUCCUUCUUCUUGACUGGAUUUAGAUGUCCUAUAAGGCAUUAUAUAGGAUAUUUAUCGGCCCGCAAAACUUUCAUGAAUGGCUGGAUCAUCCAUCCACACAAUUCAUAUUGGCUUCACUUUUAGAGCAAAAGGUCAUUUCCAAGUGCCAGGACAAAUGUCAGUAUAAUUUCGUACAUCUGUACAUAGCUUGUGUAUGUCUGUGUUUUCUUGAAUAAAUUUGAAAGAGCUCCUUAUGUGUUAGGCAUUAACCAUUUGAAUAUUUGAGGCAAGUACUUCCCCGAUGCUGUUAUUUUCAC
rnacentral:lncRNA from 1 species